UGCCAGCCGCCGCGGUAAUACGGAGGGGGUUAGCGUUGUUCGGAAUUACUGGGCGUAAAGCGCACGUAGGCGGAUCAGAAAGUAUGGGGUGAAAUCCCAGGGCUCAACCCUGGAACUGCCUCAUAAACUCCUGGUCUAGAGUUCGAGAGAGGUGAGUGGAAUUCCGAGUGUAGAGGUGAAAUUCGUAGAUAUGUGGAGGAAUACCGGUGGCGAAGGCGGCCUCCUGGCUCGAUACUGACGCUGAGGUGCGAAAGCGUGGGGAGCAAACAGGAUUAGAUA
rnacentral:rRNA from 1 species